rnacentral:rRNA from 1 species
UACGUAGGUGGCAAGCGUUGUCCGGAUUUACUGGGCGUAAAGAGCGCGCAGGCGGUCGAUCAAGUCGCGUGUGAAAGCCCCCGGCUCAACUGGGGAGGGUCACGCGAUACUGAUCGACUCGAAGGCAGGAGAGGGUAGUGGAAUUCCCGGUGUAGUGGUGAAAUGCGUAGAUAUCGGGAGGAACAUCUGUGGCGAAGGCGACUGCCUGGACCAGCACUGACACUGAGGCACGAAAGCGUGGGGAGCAAACAGG